UACGGAGGGUGCAAGCGUUAUCCGGAUUUACUGGGUUUAAAGGGUGCGUAGGUGGGUAGGUAAGUCAGUGGUGAAAUCUUCGAGCUUAACUCGGAAACUGCCAUUGAUACUGAUGGUCUUGAGUACACUUGAAGUGGGCGGAAUGUGUCAUGUAGCGGUGAAAUGCUUAGAUAUGACACAGAACACCGAUUGCGAAGGCAGCUCACUAAAUUGUAACUGACGCUGAGGCACGAAAGCGUGGGGAUCAAACAGG
rnacentral:rRNA from 1 species